CACAUACUCCCUCCAUCCCAAAAUUCUUGUCUUAGAUUUGUCUAAAUACGGAUGUAUCAAGUCAUGUUUUAGUAUUAGAUGCAUCCGUAUCAAAACAAAUCUAAGACAAGAAUUUUGGGACGGAGGGAGUACAUA
rfam:Triticum aestivum genome assembly, contig: Triticum_aestivum_CS42_TGACv1_scaffold_064146_1DL